AGUAACACGUGAGUGACCUGCCUUUUAGACUGGAACAACUUACCGAAAGGUGAGCUAAUGCCGGAUGAGUUAUAUAAGUGCAUGUUUAUAUAGGAAGAGUUGGGGAGACCUGACGCUGAAAGAUGGACUCGCGUCCCAUUAGCUAGUUGGUAGGGUAAUGGCCUACCAAGGCGACGAUGGGUAGCCGGCCUGAGAGGGUGGCCGGCCACACUGGGACUGAGACACGGCCCAGACUCCUACGGAAGGCAGCAG
rnacentral:rRNA from 1 species